GGUGGCUGACUAAAUACUUUUUUGCCCCACUGUAUAUAUAAAAUGUUUUUAAUGGUACAUAUUAUUUUUUAUCUCUUUCAUUUCCCAUAUUUAUUUUUGUACAUUUUCUUUCAUUGAUUUUGCUAAAAAUGUUAAAUACCUAACUCUGUUUGCUGUUUUUUUUUAAAGAAAUUCUUUAUACAUAUCUAAAAUGUGAUUUUGUAUGAAUAGUAAUUUUCCACUUGCAUGCUGCUCUUAUUCAAAGCAACAGGUUACCUGUAAUAGUUAUAAGAAAUGAUAACCAACUUUAUGGUACCCAUUCUCUCUGAUUAAAGUCAAGUCAAAGAAACCCUUAGGGCCCUUAAGUGAAAGUCUUCUGUGGUUCUGGUCAUACAGAAAGGACCCUGUUCCUCAGUGUGUCUUUUGAAAUACACAUACUAGUAGAAGUGGGAUGUGGAAACCUGAAGCUUCUAGUGUAUAACAAUUCAAAUUAACUUUUCAGUGAAGUAUGAAACUUUUGACACCACUCUGUUUUUGCUGCUGUGCCAUUUGACCUCACAACUUGUUUACAAACCUAUAGAAUAAUCCUGUUGUUUUAUCAGUGAAAUUCCUUUUAGGUGAAAAACUGCAUUUGAGCGAUGUAUUCUGUCCAUACCUGCGUCUGUCGGAUAGACUCUCCUCCGUGUCAUUGGUCACAAUAACAUGUGUGGAGCCUCCUUGGCUUUCCUCGUGCAUCACCUCAAUCUGUGGCGCACAAACACACAUUCAGUUAAUUAUUAGGGCAGCUAGUAUAUUAUGCAAACAAUGUCUUUUUUUUCAGCUUGGUCCCAAUAGAGCUCUUCAUUGUUCCAGUCAAUCCACUAACCAAAGCCAGUAGAUAUAUUGUCUUUACCAGGUGUUUGCAUUCAGAUGGUCAUCAAGUCCUUUGUGAAUAUGUAACUAGGCUAAUGGUAAAUCCACAGAUGACCUUUUCUUCUGUCAGCAGCCUUUAAUGCAAAAGCUUGUGUCAUGAUUAACCUUGCAGAACUGUACUGCACUGAACUACUGUAAAUUAAUAUACAGCUCCAGAAGAAAUGAAGAGACCACUCCAAAUGUUUCUUAAAUCUUUAUCUCUACAUGUAUGGCAGCCAUUCCAGUGUCUGUUGAAUUCUGACACAGAGGAAUGUUGUCAGUAGUUUAUGGAAUACAAUAAAAUAAACCUAAAAAUAAUUUAACUGAAAGGUAAUAAUAUCCACUUCUUUGUCAGGCAUUUUGAAAGCAACAUUUCUUGUGGAAAAAUAAAGACAUUUAGUUGUGGUUUCUAUGAGGCUAGGCUGAAGGUGCCACAGAGGGACUAAGUAUACUGUUUGAGCUGACAGCAAAACAUCAUAAACGUUCUUCUUACUGAUCAGUUACGUAACAUGUUCUAGAUUUUUCUAGGAGAUGCAAGAUGCUGCAUUUGUUGUCUUUAAUAAUGGCAUCCAACGCUAUAGCUGGCCAUUGAUCCAUGAUAGGAUGGAUUAAAUGAGGGGUCUAAAUGUCACUAUGUGUGCUAUGCUGUGCACAUGGGUGACGAAAAAAUACAAACUUCAAAUCCUCCAUUUCUAUCCAUUUACUCUAUCCAUAAAUUGCCUUUGGGACCAGCGGGAUAGGCCCAACAACAGAUCAAGAAGUGCGUAGUAUGGACUGGUACCUAUAGAAGUAUCAAUAUUUGUGGGACCAAACCUUGCCCCAGUGUCACAGUCAGUUACUCUUUUUUAAUUUGUGAUGUUUAGAACUUUAAAAAAUCUUUAAAGUUCUUAAGAGAUUUAAGAGUGGGACUGCAGGAGGGUACCUUGAUGCCUCCCUUGGCCUUGCGUGUGUUCUUCUUCUUGGGAUCUUCGGCUGGCGGCUUGCCACUGUUGGUGUUAUCAGAAGCUCUGCGAGCCAGUGCUACAAGAAGUUCAGAGGACCAAGCACUAGUGUUUUAUCACAGACAGAAGAGUUCAAACAGUUGGGAGUUACCCAAGGUUGAUCAUCUGAGGCACAAGUUAAGGCAACAUCCAACUCACGCUGCUGGACCCCUGUGGUCCUGGGGGGGGUUUUCAUUGACGGCUUUUUCGGAGAGGACUCGGGCCGCGGGGCGACAGGCUGGACAGGCCUCGUCUGUUUAGCCGACAGCCUCUUCAGACUGACGUGCCGUUUCUGGAACAUCUCUUGUACGUCCUCCAGGCGCUUCAGUGCCUUCAGGGCAUUGGCCUGCAGGCAGAACACUCACCAUCAGCACUCCUCAUCAUCAUUCAAACACAACAUCCAGUCAGCAUGACUCCAGAAAGCGUUCUAUGUCCGCCAGUGCUGAUUCCGCCCCUUCCUGUGACUGACACCUAUCCACAGCCAGGGAGGCCAGCAGGUAGAUGCCAGACUCACACCACUGGUUAACCUGAGCAGAGGAAACAUUCAAACAGGGCAAAAAGUUAAUGUAGAGAACAAAACACCAUCACAUAUAAUCCCAAAUCCUGGAAGAACAUGCCACUGGGGUCAAUAAGGACCUUCAAGAACAUAGUCUUUACCUCUUCACCACCUUAAUUAAAUUAGGGGUCGAGGUUUUAGCCUUGUUUUGAUAUUAUAAAGACUCAAUAUAAUACCUUAAAAUAAAAUAAACACUGAAGAUAUGAUAAAAGCCAGAUGAGAAUUUGAGUAAGAUCUUAGACAUCAUAACAAAGUAUACAUAAAAAGUCAGAAACCUUUAGCCCAAAUACAAUGAGAGAUAAUCCAAGUGCUGGGAAGCUUUUGUUUUCUGGCUGUGACAUCUGUACAUGAUAUCAUGUUCUCACCUUAUCAAUGCCCAUGUGUAUCUGCAGGGAUUUGGACAGGACAUCCGUCUUUUUCUUGGACUCGUUGCUGAAGUCGUCACAGACCUGCCGGAGCUCCACACACUUGGGUCGGAUGGAGUCAACAGCGUAGUGGUUGCUCUGGAUCAGCUGGUCACCGUGCAGGGCGUGGAGCUGGGCCUUCUCUAGCGUGGGCUAAAAUAAACAUGUUUCAGAAUUCAUCAUGGCCGCCAUCUGAAGGGUCUACUGGGGAGAACUUGUCCUGGACUCACUGCUGUACAAAGCUUGACAAAAUAACCAUUUGUGAUUAUUGAUUUCUGAUCAAGCGGGUGGUAGAUUAUUCAAGGAGCUGUCAUGACUUAGAUUGAGGUAAGGAAUAAAUACUUUUGAAAUAAUAA